rnacentral:RNase_P_RNA from 1 species
CAGGUGGGCCGGGCGUUCGCUGCGUCGAUUAUGACGUAGAGGAAAGUCCGAACUCCACAGGGCAGGGUGCCGGUUAACUGCCGGAAGGAGCAAUCCUUGAAAAGUGCCACAGAGAACAGACCGCCCAAGUGUCCGUCAAACCGGGCACCGGCAAGGGUGAAACGGCGCGGUAAGAGCGCACCGCCCUUCCGGUAACGGAAGGGGCACGGCAAACUCCACUCGGAGCAAGGCCAAGCAGCAGGCAUGGAUUGCCCGUCCGACGGUUGCUCCGUCUUCGUGAAUAAUCGUUUAAACCACGAUUAUUCUAAACGAUUGAGGAGCAAUCGUCAGCCUGCGGGUAGGCUGCAGGAGGCCCGCGGCAACGCGCUGGCCCUAGAUAAAUGAACGCACUCGACAGAAUUCGGCUUACAGGCCCACCUGAAUA